ACAGGCCCUGCUAUGCUGUGACCACCACUACAGCAGCCCCAUUCUCCUUGCUGUGCUACUCACCUGGGGGUUGCUGAGCCAGCAGGGCCUCCGGAUGGGGUAGACUGAAUAGCAGUACUUUCCCGUCUGAGCAGGCCAGAGCCAAGAGACCCAACCGGGGCAGGAGAGGAGCCUAAAGGGUAAAAGGUCCCAAGGCCCCAGAGCUGGAGCAGCCCAGGACCCGAAUGAAGCUGGCUCAGUGGGUGUGUCUCAUUCAUGUCAGGGCUGGAGAAAAGAGCCACAUAUUGCGAGGCUCCUGCCCCCUCUGGCACUGGGCACCAGUCCAGAGCCCAGAGCGGUCCCCCCGUGAAGAAGGACACAUCCCAGCGCUCUGGAUGUGCUGUGAUCGAGCUAAAUCUAGAGAAAAAUCAAAGAUGGGAUGAAGAAAGGAAUUAAUGAAAGAAUCAGAAAAAAGGGCGGAUGUGCAAUCUUCACCUGUUUAUUCGGUAGAGGGUGCCAUCUUCAGGUAGCCCUUCACGUUGUACAGAAAACAAUGGAGACUUCUCCUCCUGGGG
ensembl:lncRNA GTF3C2-AS1 GTF3C2 antisense RNA 1